GGCAUCAGCCUCUGGAGUUGGGUAUUGUGGGUUCAAGUCCCAUCUAAGUUGUCUUUGAAGGACCACUAUAGAUUUAAUUACAGAUCAUUUCAACCAAUUAUUGCAAUGAAAAAUAAACUGAUGCAUCAACACAUCAAAGCACUCUCUUGCUGACAUCAGGGCUUUCCUGUUGCAGUCGGGUGUGCACGUCUCCAACACCACUAUAAGACGAUACUAUAGACAUCAAAGCCCUGUAGGCCUUCCUAGAAAAACAACUGCAAGGCAAGGAAAAUGAACAGGUAUUGUGUAUUAUCAUCUUGUCAAAUCAAGUAUUUCAGCAACACUUAUGUCAAAUUGUUAAUAAAAUGAAUUAAUAAAUUAUUGUAUGUGUUUGUUGUAUAGUGCUGCACUUAAAACGAUUGACGAAAAACUGCACAAGGACAAUGAGCGAUCUGCUAAAAAGAUUCAGAGUGAGCUUCUGUUUAGAAUACAGUUAAAAGCAUCAGUCUGCAAUAUUAGAAAACCAGUAAAACAACUCAGGUGGACCUAUGGAAAAGCCAGGCUAUUUGCUUUAUACGAGCUUACAUGUCCUACAAAUUUAUUAAUAGGACAUACCCUAUUAAUAAACCGCCAUGUUGUGAAACCGAAAGCAAAGCAUCCAGUAAAAAUUCAUGUCUGGGGAGCCAUAUUCCAUCAGGGACCAAACCGCUAGUUGUGUUAGAAGGAAUUAUGGACAGAUGUUUUUACGAAGACACUAUAAUAAAAUUCAAUCAGGCUCCAUACGUAAAACAACACUUUAAGAACCAUAUCACUUCUUCCAAGGUAGAUACAGUAUGUAGGCCUACUGUACCAACUGUGUGUGUGUGUGUGUGUACAUGUUCACUGAUGUGU